UAAAUGACAUCGGGGAGCUCACAUCAGUGGGCUGAGAGUAAGCGUUCUGCGCUUUGACCCAUUUUACCUGAUUUGGAUAAUGCCAACGUAGGGAUCAAACGAGUAGUGAAAU
rfam:Lactobacillus bifermentans DSM 20003 NODE_55, whole genome shotgun sequence.